CGAGCAUGCGCAUGUACAUGAAACAUUUGUCUACAAUGAAAAAGUUGAUUUUAAAUAACCUGCAAGGGAUGAUCCAUUUUCUUUUUUCCAUGUGAAGUCUUUAGAUAUCGCAUAUCUUCAUUUUGUAUUAGUAACUUAUCUUGAAAGAAAUUAGAAGAGGUUAUAUUUUCACAUUCUCUUUACUUUGUAUUCUUUUGAAAACUAUAUGAUGAUCAUAUUCUUCCUCAAUUUUCCCUCAUAUAUUUAAACGGUUGUCAUGUUUGUGGACAUGUAACAUGAAAACUGAGAAAUGUCAACUAUAUAUAUAUAUAUAUAUAUUUCUUGGUCCAACGAUUUCCCUUCUUAUAUGAGGUUCUAUAGAACGAGACGUCUUUGCUGCUCAUACCUAAUCACUCUUUUAGAUUACUGAUUUUGUUGGUUAAGCUUUGGAGAUCAUGUUGUAGUCUCUAUUUAAUUUUUAUGAAUUAUUGGUUCUUUUUAAAUGUUAAGUUUGGUGAAUGUUUGGACUGCCUUCAAAAACGCCUAUUAUUUUACAGGAUUCAAAUACACUACUAUUAGUCAGGAGAACAUAAAAUUGUGGAUUAGAUAGUAAUUUUUAUUUUAUUUUUAGGAUUUAAGUGAAAUUGGUUUUGGUUUUACGAAUAUCUUUUAAUAAUUUUGAAUGUUCUUUUUGUACAAUUAGUGAAGUGCAUAGUCAAAUGUCAGACAAUAAUCAUAUUUCCAUUUAACAAAACUUUUAGUUUCUAUUACUUAUUUUUCAACCUGAAAUGUUAGAUGUAUAUCUCACAAAAGCAUACUUCAAAUGGCAAGAUAAUGCAUUAAAGAUUAGGCACAACACAAAUUUUUUAAAAGCUGUGUUGCAAUAGCAUGAGAAGGUGGUCAAUAUAAUAAUGUUUUGUCUGUUUGUCUUUCAUUUAUACAUAUUUUUACCCUUCUAAUUUAUAAUAAUUGCUAAUAAUUUUAUUUUUGGGUAAUUCUUAUUUUUGUUUAAAUAUUUUUAUUAUUAAUAUCCUUGAGUGUCCUUAAUUAUAUAAAACUUAAAUCAAACCUCACUGAAAAUAUACAAUACAUAAAAGUGUGCAAAGGUUAUAUGAACCACAUAUAUGUUAUUUACAAAUGUUUUCCUUCUCAUAAAAAAAGAGAGAGUAUAUGAAUUCCUUAUUAGCUCGAUGGUUAUUUAUAAGUUUAGUGAACUUCUAUAAAACCACGCGCGGGCAUAUUUACGAGUAAGGAUAUAAAAAAAAUGCACAAUGAGUCAGCUAAUGAUAAACGGAUGACAUGAUAGGACACUUUGGCUCCUCCUUAUUAAUUCACAUUCAUCCUAUGGAGAAGUCGAGAAGGCUUAAUUAGAUCUCAUUUCCUUUAGUAAUAUCUAUUCAAUGUUUUGGAGAAGUCGAGAAGGCUUAAUUGCUUUAUUUUGCCCUAUUGUCGUAUUAACUCUUAAAAUGUCUACAUUCAUCUAAUCAAUUCAAGUUAAUUUACCCAAGUAUUCAUAUCUUAAUGAAUUAUAUAUUAACCAGCCUUCUCGUCCCUUCUCUGAAAAUGGAGAAUCUAAGGGCUUGUAAUUUGAAUAGUGAUGCAAAAUCGUGCUUUUUGAGGUGGGGGUCAAGAAGCAAGAAGCAAGUAGAUGUACUCUUGUGGUAUGUUUGAACUCAGCCUCGAUUGAUUCUGUCACUCAGAAAUAUUUUAGAAGAAGAGAAAGAAGUCUCUUAGUCGAGAGAUGAAGAAGUACAUAGCAUUGUUUGAUGCUGGAAUCGAAAUAGUUGCUAGAUUCAACUUUCACUAUCCUUGAACUUCACAUCAACAAGCUCUUUCACACCAACUUUUGUGUCAUCAAAGGUUUUCAAUUCACUCUAUUUAUCAUAGUUAGGUUGGACCAUCUUGGUUGCACGCUUAUCAUAGUAUUUGUGAAAUGCUUCUUUUUAUCAUAAUUAGGUUGGAGGCUAUUUCUUCACUUUGUUUCCUUUCUCUGUUAGCUUCAACUAUUUCAAAUGUGUAUGAUACUUGUAUACUGCUAUGUUGUACCUCCAGGCUCCAGGACCAUUAAACAAAGUGUUAUUCUAGGCAUUUUCUUCAAUUAAGAGAAAGUAUCACAACAUUGAAUUCAAUUGCUCCAGCUUGGAGCAUGCUUCAUGUAUUGUUAUGUACGUGGUUGUAGUGACUGCUUCUAUAGCAACCCUUUUUUCUUUUGUUCUGAGUGCACGCGUAUUUUGGCUGCUCACUCACCUGAAGAUCUUAUGAAAGCAGUGGAGAUCAACGCAUUUCUGAUGAACAGUCUCUUGUAUGUUCUACUCUCAUUCUGUCCACAGUAAUUACUGCGAAUUAUCUUUUGUGAAGACUAAGUAAGCAAUUUGUAAACCUGCGGUGGAAAAGCCUCCACUGCAUAGACAAAGACGUCAACAGGUUCCUGCAAUUGAAUAUUAUCACAAUGAGCAAGAUACUACUGUACUACAGGUGAAGGUUCAGCCAAAUGAGUAAAUCACGGGUAAUCCGCAGGAGACAGGUGUGUAAUGGGUUCGCGUUUGAAAACUAAAUAACAUUGACACAAAUUUUAAGUGAUCAUUAUUCUGUGCUAGCAUCUCCAGCCACAUUAGAGGCAAAAGCCAGCAGCUAAAUAGUGGAAGAAUAGUAAUUUUUAUUUCCUUACCUCAUUAACAAAAGCUUUUUCCCUUUUCGAUAUAAAUUAGGGCACAUUUUCUUGGCCCGGUCUGUCAGAGUGCAUCUUUAUCAUAUUGCUUUAAAAUUCUCAGGUAGCCCAAUUUUUUUGACUGAAAAUUUAUUCAUGGCUGCGUUGGUGACAACAGUAGCCAAGGGCCCAAGGCACGGAAAGAAGCUUUUUGGCUCAUCAACCAAUUUGAAUUAGAUAUUCAUUCUGGAUCUAUAUACAAUAUAAAGCUAGGCAUAGACAAGGUAAUGUGGCACCUCUCUAUGGCCUAGAAACAUAUUUAUCUUUUUUCUCCUUUUUUUGAGCUUUUUACUAUUUUUUGUCUUUUAUCCCAUUUUUUUUAUGUAUUUUAUUGUAACAACUAUAAAUGACUCAAUAAUUAAUACUGCACUCUUCUUAUUCAUGGAGUAAUUUAUUGUUUACUUUCAACUUACUACAUUACG